CUAUAGGACAUGAAUAGUGAUCAAAUGACAGUGGUGUAUGAAACAGAUUUGAGCUGCAUUUCCCUAAAGCUUUGUAAACUUAAGUACAUCAUAGACUCAAUAAAACCAAUGAAGCUGGGAGGUGGGGCUUAAAACAUGGAUAUCUGAUGUUGUUGAAAAACUGCAAGUCUCUGUUACAGAGAGAAUAAGAAACACACACAAUGAUUCUCAAUUCUGUAAUUCUGCUUUUUGCCUUUGCAUAUGCAGCAUAUGGAAAUGAAAUUAAACCAACCAAAACUUUGGAGUUUGCUGAGGAGGGUUCAAGUGUUACAUUAUCCUGCAUUUAUUCAUCUGCAUAUACUCUGUACUGGUACCGUCAGUAUCCCAGAUCAGCUCCUCAGUUCAUCGUGUUCAUCUCAGGCAGUGCAAAAGACGAUCAGGAAUCUAUUGUAGAUCCCAGAUUCACUGCCAAAGUCACCAAAGACAAAGAAAACCAUGUGGAUCUGGAGAUCUCCUCUGUAUCUAUAUCAGACUCUGCUCUGUACUACUGCGCUCUGCAGCCCACAGUGACAGGAAACACAAGAACAUUGUACAAAAACCUGGUUCACAGUAUUGCAUUUACAUCACACAUAUCCAAGCUCCUUAUCUGCUGUACAGUAGGUAACACAAGGGAACUCCCCUCUAAUCAGUAAAAACAGUAUAGAUUGUCAUUCACAAUCACGACAUAAAAAAGAUAAAACUUGAAGGAUUAAACACAAAGAUUUAAAAGAUUUAAAUAUGUUAAAAGAUGCUUCAUAUACAGAUAUUCACAUUAUAUACAGCAACCAUGUUUAAAGAGGUGAUAAAAUCAUAUUUAUAUGCAUUUGCGUGAGUAAAGAGGGGUUUAUAUCUGAGGGUAUUUUGCUGAACCUGACAGAGAGUCAUAAGAUCAUUUAAAGGGGUCAUAUGAUGUUUUUUUUUAAAGAUAAUUAUUUUGUGUAUUUGGUGUAACAGAAUAUGCUGACAUGCUUUAAAAAAAACACCUUAUUUUUAAAAUACUGUAUACUAUGUCCCGCCUCUCUCAAACUCCUCAUUUUCUACCAAGUCCCUCUUUCCAACAAAUGCAGUCUGCUCUGAUUGGGCAACUGAUCUAGUGCAUUGUGAUUGGCCAAACACCGCAAGCACUCGUCGGAAAUUAGUGAUGGGAAGUUCGGAUAAUUUUACCGACUCUGAGAGAGUCCAUAAAAGCAAAAGGACAAAAUUGUUCAACAACAUCUGCAAGAUUCGGUGAGUGAUUCAGAUUUGUCUUGGUACAGCGAUUAGAAGUCUUACAAUUGUCAGACAGGUUGCUCACGUGACAUCUACGUCAUCAAGCUCAGUUUAAGUAUGCGCAGUAUGCUCGACCACCAGGAAGUGCGUGCUUCUAAUUGACUUCACUUGUCUCCGUUGAAUCUAAUGGGGUCGCUGUGUCCAUUUCUUUUACUGUCUAUUGAUAGACCCGAACUAUGAACUAAUCAAUUCUCUUUCCGGCUCAGGCUGGCAUUGACUGACACAGGUGAAUUACUAUUAGCGGAACAGAACCUAUAAUAAUGGAUGAAUCAUGGAUCAUCCCCCGAGACGACUCGUUCUUCCCAAGUCACAUUAAAGAUUUGUUCAAAAUGAGCGUAUCAUUCAAGAAUGACACAUCACUAUCGGAAAAGUAAUGCCCCUUUCCAUAAUGCUGAGCAUCUUCUUUCAAAAUAAAUAUAAAGACAGUUAAUAAUGUACUUAGUUUUGGCAUCAGUUCAAGCCUGAAAGAGGAACAGAUGGCCUGACAGACACAGUGAUGAAGUUUGUAUGUGUUUACAGUACACAAGCCACUGACGUUCAGACGGCUGACUCCACUGUGAUAUGAGUGACUGGUCUCUCUCUCUCUUUCUCACAGACGCUGGGGUGAACACACAUUUGUGAGGAUUUGCAGUGUGUUUCAUUAUAUGCAUGUGUUGUGAUGAUUUGCAACACUUGUGUUGUCAAACUGAUGAAGAUGCUUUCUUCAUUUACUGGUUUUUUUUCUGGUACAAACAAAUACCAAAAAGAUCACCAACAUUCAUUCUGGGUCA